ACACCGGAAUUUCAAUCCGAGCCCUUCACCGAACGACUAAAACGCGAGAACGCCCCUCCACGUGCGAUCCCUCGCGAAACGGUACAUAAAAUAUCGCGACUUUCGCGAAAAUACCGUUUUGCCACCACCGACCUCUCCUCGAUCAACGCGCGAUCUCCGCAGAUCCGUCCGUCAGAUUUGCGAACGGAUUGCACCGGUGCGAUCAGCACCUCGGAGACAACAAAGCUGCGAUUUCGUUUCGUCUUGAUCGACCACGGAUUCACGACAAAAUCCAACCUUCUUCGAAUAGAAGGAAACACACACAUAAAUACAUAUAAAACAUGUAUUUUUGGAUUUUCUCGAAAUCCGUGCGUCAAACUCAAAAUCCGUCAGCGUCAUUGGUUCUAGAACAGCUGACCCGGUCGAAACGAGCUAUUAGACUGCUAUGAACAGAGUCCAGUACGAGCCAGAAGCCAACUUCACACCGUGGCUUCUCCGGAAAAUCGAGUUACUAUUCACUUUAAGUGAAACUUGGAAAUCCCGUAGAAUUUCCGUUUUAACUCGUUUUCGCCCGAAACUUGACGAGUGCUUUUGUAAUUAAAUUACACACAAAAACAUCGUCAACUGAGAGUUUAGCUACACUGCAAAAAUCUCAGUCCUUACAAAACUACUAUAAAAAUAAGUAGUUCUAAGUGGGUACCGCCCUGAACAUCAUCACCACUCUAUUAUCAUACUCUAAUAUUAACAAUCUGUAGAAAAUGUCAAUCCUGAUCCAAUCUCACUCGGGACUGUAACCAUACCCGUCCCAGGGACUGUGAACACACCCGUCCCGCCUGUCGAA
rnacentral:lncRNA from 1 species